rnacentral:rRNA from 1 species
GAUGAACGCUGGCGGCGUGCCUAAUACAUGCCAGUCGAGCGAACAGACGAGGAGCUUGCUCCUCUGACGUUAGCGGCGGACGGGUGUGUAACACGUGGAUAACCUACCUAUAAGACUGGGAUAACUUCGGGAAACCGGAGCUAAUACCGGAUAAUAUAUUGAACCGCAUGGUUCAAUAGUGAAAGACGGUUUUGCUGUCACUUAUAGAUGGAUCCGCGCCGCAUUAGCCAGUUGGUAAGGUAACGGCUUACCAAGGCAACGAUGCGUAGCCGACCUGAGAGGGUGAUCGGCCACACUGGAACUGAGACACGGUCCAGACUCCUACGGGAGGCAGCAGUAGGGAAUCUUCCGCAAUGGGCGAAAGCCUGACGGAGCAACGCCGCGUGAGUGAUGAAGGUCUUCGGAUCGUAAAACUCUGUUAUUAGGGAAGAACAAAUGUGUAAGUAACUAUGCACGUCUUGACGGUACCUAAUCAGAAAGCCACGGCUAACUACGUG